AGCCAGGGCUGGGCUACCACGUAGGGGUGAAAACUCCUCCUCAGAGCGUCGUAUUAACCGUUUGGAAUGUUCCAUCGGCUGGCGUCCCCCGCCCGCCCGGGUGUGGUACCGCCCUGAGGUGAAAGGGAUUAUUUGGAACCAUCAAGCUGUGGAAUAGCUAGCCUGCGUAUCUAGCUGAAGGAUUCUAAUGGAGCCUACUGGAAUAUCUGCUGGGCUGCAACGUUGGUGAGAGAGAUCCUGUUUUACAAGCUCAGGUAUCACAGCUCUGACAAAUGAGUAAUCUUGAAAGAACUUGUCUUUGUCCCCCUCCCUUUUAUCCUUGAGGGAAAGAGCUUCAGUAACACCCUUGAGGCCACUGAGUUUAAAGACAGGAGGCAUCUGGUGCUGGUGAAAACACAUCUGAACACUUCCCUUUGGUCUGCCAUUAAAUAUCCUAGUACAACUGUUCUGAACAUCCCAUCCCACGCUGGAAUAGGAAGAGAAGUCCAGCCAGCCAUUUCCCCCGUGGCCAGCCGUAAGGAUCUUCCAGAAGUUAUCAACAUCCUUCCUGAAUUGUGGGCACCAGAAUUGGACACAGUAUAGCAGAAGCAGUUGUACCAGUGCAAAAUAUAAAGGCUCAAACCCUUGAGAAGCCUGGUAAUGUUUUAGGACAUUACUUUUGAUGGUUUUUCCUGCCCUUACAAUAAUAUUAUCAAACCCGCUGAAAUGACAGGCAUAUCGUAUACAGUGGAACCUCAGAGUUACGAACACCAGAAUUACGAACUGACUGGUGAACCACACACCUCACAACUGGAACCGGAAGUACACAAGCAGGCAACAACAGAGAUCAAAAAAAAAGGGGGGGCAAAAUACAGUACAUUACUGUGUUCAACAUAAACUACUAAAAAAAAAGGG